GAUGACAGAUUUUCACAUUUCUUUAUUUAGUUAACUAUUAAAUAAGUAAAACAUUACAUUACAUUUAACCCAGCUUCUUUAUGUAACGUUAUGUCUGUGUUGCGUGUGGUAAUUGGAACAUCUUUAUUUUCUGACUAACGUUAGGCAUUUCUCUUAAGCAUUUCAGAAAUCAUUAAAACCUUUCAUUUUUUUUAGCACAGCGACAUAAAUAUGACCAACCAGAUCCCAAGUAGACAGGAACAAAUGAAGAUAUAGCGCAUAGAAAGACUUAUUCUUGGUGAUCAACUGCUAUUGACAUUUUUGAAUCGGGGCAAAUGUGGAGUGAAGAAAAACUUUGCAACACAUCCAUUCCAGAGUGCUCUGACAGAUAAAACUGACACGCUUGAUGAGGACACAGUCAAGCUUUAAAAGCCCGUGUGAUAAAGCAGUCUUCAAUUACUACGGUGUCUGAAUUGCAAGAAGAAGUCACCCUCCACUUAAACAUGUGACAUCUAAACUGUUUUGUGUUUUAGUUCAGCUUUUUAUAGGUUUAUCUUAAGUUGGUUAAAGGCAGAGUGCACUAUUUUUGAAAGCCAAUGUUAACAUUUGAAAUUACCUAAACAAACAUGCCUCUACCCCAAUAGAAUCUGGACCUUCUUUUGAUAGAGCCACCACACACAUACGCAAUCCCGGCAAGGAUGUCAGUUAGUAGACACGCCCCUUACUGCUGGUUGGCUACAAGUGUGUUUUGGUAGUCGGCCCAAUUUCCUUUUCCAAAGCGUUUUUCAAACAUUGUGCACUCCGUCUUUAAAUUGCACUUAAACAUUUUUUUUCAGUAACUUUUUAUGCAGAGAAUUACAUUAUGAUUAUUAUAUAAUCAUUGCUUAUGAAUAUUUAGUGAUUGCAUAUUCAUAGUGUACUUUUCAUUAAUACAUUUAAUGUUAAUGUUGUACAAUUUGAUAGAAGUAGCUCUGUAAUUGCAUUUCUCUGAUAUUUGUUUUAUAUUGUUUCUCUUUGGUCAAGAGAUUAUGUAUGUCUCUGUGCUUGAUUAAUUUACUUUAGGUAUUUUUGUAAUGUACACAACACAAUAUGAAGUAUAUUAAAUUGUUCUGUAUUCAAAAUCUGUGUAUGUGUCUUAAAAUUUAAUGAUUUUAAUAUAACAUUUUAAAUAUUAAAAA